UCAGGAUGAACGCUGGCGGCGUGCUUAACACAUGCAAGUCGAACGAGCCUUCGGGCUAGUGGCGGACGGGUGAGUAACGCGUGGGAAUCUGCCCUCAGGAGGGGGAUAACGGCCGGAAACGGCCGCUAAUACCCCAUAUGCCGAGAGGUGAAACGAAUUUCGCCUGGGGAUGAGCCCGCGUCUGAUUAGCUAGUUGGUGAGGUAAUGGCCCACCAAGGCUUCGAUCAGUAGCUGGUCUGAGAGGAUGAUCAGCCACACUGGGACUGAGACACGGCCCAGACUCCUACGGGAGGCAGCAGUGGGGAAUUUUCCGCAAUGGGCGCAAGCCUGACGGAGCAACGCCGCGUGAGGGACGAAGGCCUCUGGGCUGUAAACCUCUUUUCUCAAGGAAGAAGACAUGACGGUACUUGAGGAAUAAGCCACGGCUAAUUCCGUGCCAGCAGCCGCGGUAAUACGGGAGUGGCAAGCGUUAUCCGGAAUUAUUGGGCGUAAAGCGUCCGCAGGCGGCCUUGAAAGUCUGUUGUUAAAGCGUGGAGCUCAACUCCAUUUAAGCAAUGGAAACUACAAGGCUAGAGUGUGGUAGGGGCAGAGGGAAUUCCCGGUGUAGCGGUGAAAUGCGUAGAUAUCGGGAAGAACACCAGUGGCGAAGGCGCUCUGCUGGGCCAUAACUGACGCUCAUGGACGAAAGCCAGGGGAGCGAAAGGGAUUAGAUACCCCUGUAGUCCUGGCCGUAAACGAUGAACACUAGGUGUCGGAAGAAUUAACCCUUUCGGUGUCGUAGCCAACGCGUUAAGUGUUCCGCCUGGGGAGUACGCACGCAAGUGUGAAACUCAAAGGAAUUGACGGGGGCCCGCACAAGCGGUGGAGUAUGUGGUUUAAUUCGAUGCAACGCGAAGAACCUUACCAGGGUUUGACAUCCUGCGAAUCCCUUGGAAACGGGGGAGUGCCUUCGGGAACGCAGUGACAGGUGGUGCAUGGCUGUCGUCAGCUCGUGUCGUGAGAUGUUGGGUUAAGUCCCGCAACGAGCGCAACCCACGUCUUUAGUUGCCAGCAUUCAGUUGGGCACUCUAGAGAGACCGCCGGUGAUAAACCGGAGGAAGGUGUGGAUGACGUCAAGUCAUCAUGCCCCUUACAUCCUGGGCUACACACGUACUACAAUGCUACGGACAAAGGGCAGCAAACUCGCGAGAGCUAGCAAAUCCCAUAAACCGUGGCUCAGUUCAGAUCGUAGGCUGCAACUCGCCUACGUGAAGGAGGAAUCGCUAGUAAUCGCAGGUCAGCAUACUGCGGUGAAUACGUUCCCGGGCCUUGUACACACCGCCCGUCACACCAUGGAAGUUGGCCAUGCCCGAAGUCGUUACUCCAACCCGUAAGGGAGGAGGACGCCGAAGGUGGGGCUGAUGACUGGGGUGAAGUCGUAACAAGGUAGCCGUACCGGAAGGUGCGGCUGGAUCACCUCCU
rnacentral:rRNA from 1 species